AGGACGAACGCUGGCGGCGUGCUUAACACAUGCAAGUCAAGGGGGCCCAGCAAUGGGCAACCGGCGAACGGGUGCGUAACACGUGAGCAACCUACCGAAAUGUGGGGGAUAGCCGGCCUAACGGCCGAGUAAUACCGCAUACGCUCUCGAUGAGGCAUUUCAUUGAGAGGAAACCUACGGGACAUUUCGAGGGGCUCGCGGCCUAUCAGCUAGUUGGCGAGGUAACGGCUCACCAAGGCAACGACGGGUAGCUGGUCUGAGAGGAUGGCUAGCCACAUUGGGACUGAGAUACGGCCCAGACUCCUACGGGAGGCAGCAGUGGGGAAUCUGCGCAUGGCUACGGCUGACGCAGCGACG
rnacentral:rRNA from 1 species